rnacentral:rRNA from 1 species
AUUGAACGCUGGCGGAAUGCUUUACACAUGCAAGUCGAACGGCAGCACGGGGGCAGCCCUGGUGGCGAGUGGCGAACGGGUGAGUAAUACAUCGGAACGUGCCCGGUCGUGGGGGAUAACGUAGCGAAAGUUACGCUAAUACCGCAUACGAUCUGAGGAUGAAAGCGGGGGACCUUCGGGCCUCGCGCGAUCGGAGCGGCCGAUGUCAGAUUAGGUAGUUGGUGGGGUAAAGGCCUACCAAGCCGACGAUCUGUAGCUGGUCUGAGAGGACGACCAGCCACACUGGAACUGAGACACGGCCCAGACUCCUGCGGGAGGCAGCAGUGGGGAAUUUUGGACAAUGGGCGCAAGCCUGAUCCAGCCAUUCCGCGUGCAGGACGAAGGCCUUCGGGUUGUAAACUGCUUUUGUACGGAACGAAAAGGCUCUGGCUAAUACCUGGGGCUCAUGACGGUACCGGAAGAAUAAGCACCGGCUAACUACGUG